rnacentral:tRNA from 1 species
ACCUGUCUGGCUUAGUUAGUAGAGCAUGAGAUUCUUGAUCUCAGGGUGUGAGUUCAAGCCCUACAUUGGGCA